rnacentral:rRNA from 1 species
ACACGACUCUCGGCAACGGAUAUCUCGGCUCUCGCAUCGAUGAAGAACGUAGCGAAAUGCGAUACCUGGUGUGAAUUGCAGAAUCCCGCGAACCAUCGAGUCUUUGGACGCAAGUUGCGCCCGAGGCCACUCGGCCGAGGGCACGCCUGCCUGGGCGUCACGC